rnacentral:rRNA from 1 species
UACGUAGGGGGGCAAGCGUUGUCCGGAUUUACUGGGCGUAAAGAGCGUGUAGGCGGCCACGCAGGUCCGUUGUGAAAACUGGAGGCUCAACCUCCAGCUGUCGACGGAAACCGUAUGGCUAGAGUCCGGAAGAGGAGAGUGGAAUUCCUGGUGUAGCGGUGAAAUGCGCAGAUAUCAGGAGGAACACCAAUGGCGAAGGCAGCUCUCUGGGACGGUACUGACGCUGAGACGCGAAAGCGUGGGGAGCGAACAGG